rnacentral:rRNA from 1 species
GUCCACGCCGUAAACGAUGAGUGCUUGGUGUAGCGGGUAUCGACCCCUGCUGUGCCGAAGUCAACACAUUAAGCACUCCGCCUGGGGAGUACGGUCGCAAGACUGAAACUCAAAGGAAUUGACGGGGGCCCCGCACAAGCGGUGGAGCAUGUGGUUUAAUUCGAAGCAACGCGCAGAACCUUACCUGGGUUUGAACUGUACAGGAAAGUCUCAGAGAUGAGAGCCCCUCUUCGGAGGUCUGUAUAGAGGUGCUGCAUGGCUGUCGU